CUGGUAAUGAUGGCAGAGAGGUCACACCCGUUCCCAUACCGAACACGGAAGUUAAGCUCUCUAGCGCCGAUGGUAGUUGGGACCUUGUCCCUGUGAGAGUAGGACGUUGCCAGGCA
rnacentral:rRNA from 1 species